UCCGUAGGUGGAUCAAUCAGUCAGAGGUGAAAUCCUGCAGCUUAACUGUAGAACUGCCUUUGAUACUGUUGAUCUUGAGUCAUUAUGAAGUGGUUAGAAUGUGUAGUGUAGCGGUGAAAUGCAUAGAUAUUACACAGAAUACCGAUUGCGAAGGCGUCUAGCUAGAACGGGUCUGACGGUGAGGGACGAAGCCCUGGGGCACAAACCGGAUUAGAUACCCCAGUAGUCC
rnacentral:rRNA from 1 species